UACGGAGGGUGCAAGCGUUAUCCGGAUUCACUGGGUUUAAAGGGUGCGUAGGUGGGCAGGUAAGUCAGUGGUGAAAUCCCCGAGCUUAACUUGGGAACUGCCGUUGAUACUAUCUGUCUUGAAUACUGUGGAGGUAAGCGGAAUAUGUCAUGUAGCGGUGAAAUGCUUAGAGAUGACAUAGAACACCAAUUGCGAAGGCAGCUUGCUACACAGUAAUUGACACUGAGGCACGAAAGCGUGGGGAGCAAACAGG
rnacentral:rRNA from 1 species